GACGAACGCUGGCGGCGUGCUUAACACAUGCAAGUCGAACGGUAAGGCCCUUCGGGGUACACGAGUGGCGAACGGGUGAGUAACACGUGGGUGAUCUGCCCUGCACUUCGGGAUAAGCCUGGGAAACUGGGUCUAAUACCGGAUAGGACUCCGGACUGCAUGGUCUGGGGUGGAAAGCUGUUGCGGUGUGGGAUGGGCCCGCGGCCUAUCAGCUUGUUGGUGGGGUGAUGGCCUACCAAGGCGACGACGGGUAGCCGGCCUGAGAGGGUGACCGGCCACACUGGGACUGAGAUACGGCCCAGACUCCUACGGGAGGCAGCAGUGGGGAAUAUUGCACAAUGGGCGCAAGCCUGAUGCAGCAACGCCGCGUGAGGGAGGACGGCCUUCGGGUUGUAAACCUCUUUUAGUAGGGAAGAAGCGAAAGUGACGGUACCUGCAGAAAAAGCACCGGCUAACUACGUGCCAGCCGCCGCAGUAA
rnacentral:rRNA from 1 species